GAUGAACGCUGGCGGCGUGCUUAACACAUGCCAGUCGAACGGUGAAGGCGGAGCUUGCUCUGCUGGAUCAGUGGCGAACGGGUGAGUAACACGUGAGCAAUCUGCCCCUGACUCUGGGAUAAGCGCUGGAAACGGCGUCUAAUACUGGAUACGAGCUGCGAAGGCAUCUUCAGCAGCUGGAAAGAAUUUCGGUCAGGGAUGAGCUCGCGGCCUAUCAGCUUGUUGGUGAGGUAAUGGCUCACCAAGGCGUCGACGGGUAGCCGGCCUGAGAGGGUGACCGGCCACACUGGGACUGAGACACGGCCCAGACUCCUACGGGAGGCAGCAGUGGGGAAUAUUGCACAAUGGGCGAAAGCCUGAUGCAGCAACGCCGCGUGAGGGACGACGGCCUUCGGGUUGUAAACCUCUUUUAGCAGGGAAGAAGCGAAAGUGACGGUACCUGCAGAAAAAGCGCCGGCUAACUACGU
rnacentral:rRNA from 1 species